rnacentral:rRNA from 1 species
UACGUAGGGUGCGAGCGUUGUCCGGAAUUAUUGGGCGUAAAGAGCUCGUAGGUGGCGGGUCACGUCGGGUGUGAAAGCCCGGGGCUUAACUCCGGGUCUGCAUUCGAUACGGGUCUGCUGGGGUCCGGCAGGGGAGACUGGAAUUCCUGGUGUAGCGGUGAAAUGCGCAGAUAUCAGGAGGAACACCUAUUGCGAAGGCAGCUCGCUGGGACGUUACUGACGCUGAGACGCGAAAGCGUGGGGAGCGAACAGG